CCAGUCGGCUGGACGACCGCUGCUGCAAGAUCGAAAGGUCGCAGGGGAGGAAAGUCCGGGCUCCAUGGAAACACGGUGCCGGGUAACGCCCGGCGGGGGCGACCCCAGGGAAAGUGCCACAGAAAGCAAACCGCCCGUGCGUUCGCGCAACGGGUAAGGGUGAAAGGGUGGGGUAAGAGCCCACCGCGGUCCCAGCAAUGGGAACGGCACGGUAAACCCCACCGGGAGCAAGACCGAAUAGGGGUGACAUGGGCGCAAGUCCAGCCUGUUUCCAGGUUCGUCGCCCGGGUUGGUCGCACGAGGCGUCCGGCAACGGACGUCCAAGAUGAAUGGUCGUCACGCGGCGGUUCGCCGCCGCCCUACAGAACCCGGCUUAUAGGCCGACUGGCAUU
rnacentral:RNase_P_RNA from 1 species